rnacentral:rRNA from 1 species
GAUGAACGCUGGCGGCGUGCCUAAUACAUGCAAGUCGAGCGAACGGACGAGAAGCUUGCUUUUCUGAUGUUAGCGGCGGACGGGUGAGUAACACGUGGUUAACCUACUUUUAAGACGGGGAUAGUUACGGGAAACCGAAGCUAAGACGGGUUAUUAUUUUAAACCGCUUGUUUCAAAAGGGAAAGAGGGUCUUGCUGUCCCUUCUACAGGAAUCCGGGCUCCUUUAGCUAGUUGGGAAGGUACCGGCUUACCAAGGAAGCGUUGCAUAGCCGACCUGGGAGGAUAACCGGCAACACUCGAACUGAUACACGGUCCAUACUCCUACGGGAGGCAGCAGUAGGGAAUCUUCCGCAAUGGGCGAAAGCCUGACGGAGCAACGCCGCGUGAGUGAUGAAGGUCUUCGGAUCGUAAAACUCUGUUAUGAGGGAAGAAAAGUUGUGUAAGUAACUGUGAACAUCUUGACGGUACCUAAUCAGAAAGCCACGGCUAACUACGUG